rnacentral:rRNA from 1 species
CGCGCUCGCCGAUGGGCGCGUCGCGGCAGCGAAAGCGUUGAGUGCCCCGCCUGGGGAGUAUGGCCGCAAGGCUGAAACUCAAAGGAAUUGACGGGGGCCCACACAAGCGGUGGAGCAUGUGGCUUAAUUCGAGGCUACGCGAAGAACCUUAUCCCGGGCUCGACAUGCAGGGAUUAGCACCCGGAAACGGGUGCGAGGCCGCGAGGUACAACCGACACAGGUGCUGCGUGGCUGUCGUCAGCUCGUGUCGUGAGAUGUUGGGUUCAGUCCCAUAACGAGCGCAACCCCUGCGGCCCGUUGCCAGCGCAUCGCGGCGGGCACUCAGGCCGGACUGCCGGCGUCAAGCCGGAGGAAGGCGGGGACGACGUCAAGUCAUCAUGGCCCCCAUGCCCGGGGCUGCACACGUGCUACAAUGGGGCGGACAGAGCGCCGCGACGCCGCGAGGCCGAGCCAAUCGCCCAAACCGCCCCCCAGUUCGGAUUGCGGGCUGCAACCCGCCCGCAUGAAGCCGGAAUCGCUAGUAAUCGCGGAUCAGCAUCGCCGCGGUGAAUGCGUACCUGGGCCUUGUACACACCGCCCGUCAAGCCACCAAAGCGGGGAGCACCCGAAGUCGCCGUCGCCGCGAGGCAGGCGCCGAAGGUGAGGCCCGUGAUGGGGACUAAGUCGUAACAAGGUAACCA